AUUGAACGCUGGCGGCAGGCCUAACACAUGCAAGUCGAGCGGAUGAGUGGAGCUUGCUCCAUGAUUCAGCGGCGGACGGGUGAGUAAUGCCUAGGAAUCUGCCUGGUAGUGGGGGACAACGUUUCGAAAGGAACGCUAAUACCGCAUACGUCCUACGGGAGAAAGUGGGGGAUCUUCGGACCUCACGCUAUCAGUUGAGCCUAGGUCGGAUUAGCUAGUUGGUGAGGUAAAGGCUCACCAAGGCGACGAUCCGUAACUGGUCUGAGAGGAUGAUCAGUCACACUGGAACUGAGACACGGUCCAGACUCCUACGGGAGGCAGCAGUGGGGAAUAUUGGACAAUGGGCGAAAGCCUGAUCCAGCCAUGCCGCGUGUGUGAAGAAGGUCUUCGGAUUGUAAAGCACUUUAAGUUGGGAGGAAGGGCAGUAAGCUAAUACCUUGCUGUUUUGACGUUACCGACAGAAUAAGCACCGGCUAACUCUGUGCCAGCCGCCGCCGUAAAAC
rnacentral:rRNA from 1 species